UACGAAAGGUGCAAGCGUUGUUCGGAAUGACUGGGCGUAAAGCGCACGUAGGCGGGUUCGUAAGUCGGAUGUGAAAGCCCUGGGCUCAACCUAGGAAUGGCACCCGAAACUACAAAUCUUGAAUACCUAAGAGGUUGGCGGAAUUCCUGGUGUAGGAGUGAAAUCCGUAGAUAUCAGGAGGAAUAUCGGAGGCGAAGGCGGCCAACUGGUGGUGUAUUGACGCUGAGGUGCGAAAGCGUGGGGAGCAAACAGG
rnacentral:rRNA from 1 species